AUACGGAGGAUCCGAGCGUUAUCCGGAUUUAUUGGGUUUAAAGGGUGCGCAGGCGGCCAUUUAAGUCAGCGGUUAAAUCGUGGGGCUCAACCCCAUUCUGCCGUUGAUACUGGGUGGCUUGAUUGCGGUCGAGGUUGGCGGAAUUCGUUGUGUAGCGGUGAAAUGCAUAGAUAUGACGAAGAACACCGAUUGCGUAGGCAGCUGACCAGACCGCAAAUGACGCUCAUGCACGAAAGUGCGGGGAUCGAACAGGAUUAGAUACCCUGGUAGUCCGCACAGUAAACGAUGAAUACUUGUUUUCGGCGAUAUAAUGUCGGAGGCAAAGCGAAAGCGAUAAGUAUUCCACCUGGGGCGUACGCCGGCAACGGUGAAACUCAAAUGAAUUGGCGGGG
rnacentral:rRNA from 1 species